ensembl:misc_RNA 7SK 7SK RNA
GGAUAUGAGGGUGAUCUGGCUAUAGCAUCUGUUACCUCAUUGAUAACCAGGGUUGAUUAAGGUGAUCUGGGUGGUUAGCAGGGUGCCCUCUUCCUCUCUCAUAGUUCCAUGUAUGUCUCUUCUGAAGCCCUGCACUCUGUUGCAGGACAACUUUCCCUGAAAAGAGAUGGAGCAGGGUAUAUGAAUAGCUGGGCUACCCUCCUAGAACCUCCAAAACAAGCUCUCAAAGCAGGGCAUUAUCCAAGUGAACUACUGUGCUGGUCCCAGAAUGUCUAUACUU